rnacentral:rRNA from 1 species
CCUACGGGAGGCAGCAGUGGGGAAUUUUGCGCAAUGCUCGUAAGAGUGACGCAGCGACGCCGCGUGAAUGACGAAGGCCUUCGGGUCGUAAAGUUCUUUCGACAGGGAAGAAAAUGCCUAUAAGUAACUGUGUAUGUAUUGACGGUACCUGUAUAAGCAGCCCCGGCUAACUCCGUGCCAGCAGCCGCGGUAAUACGGAGGGGGCGAGCGUUGUUCGGAGGGACUGGGCGUAAAGAGCACGUAGGCGGUGUUGUAAGUCAUUAGUCAAAGACUAGAGCUCAACUUUAGUAAGGCUAGUGAUACUAUAAUACUAGAGUAUCAGAGAGGAUUGCAGAAUUCCUGGUGUAGCGGUUAAAUGCGUAGAUAUCAGGAGGAAUACCGUUAGCGAAGGCGGCAAUCUGGCUGGAAACUGACGCUGAGGUGCGAAAGCGUGGGUAGCAAACAGGAUUAGAUACCCCGGUAGUC